rnacentral:rRNA from 1 species
CCUACAGGCGGCAGCAGUGAGGAAUAUUGGUCAAUGGGCGGGAGCCUGAACCAGCCAAGCCGCGUGAAGGAAGAAGGCGCCAAGCGUCGUAAACUUCUUUUGUCGGGGAACAAAGGGCGCCACGUGUGGCGUUGUGAGUGUACCCGAAGAAAAAGCAUCGGCUAACUCCGGGCCAGCAGCAGCGGUAAUACGGAGGAUGCGAGCGUUAUCCGGAUUUAUGGGGUUAAAGGGGUGCAUAGGCGGUCCGGAAAGUCAGCGGUAAAAGCCCGGGGCUCAACCCCGGCGAGCCGUUGAAACUGUCGGACUAGAGACGGCGAGAGGUACGCGGAAUGCGCGGUGUAGCGGUGAAAUGCAUAGAUAUCGCGCAGAACUCCGAUUGCGAAGGCAGCGUACCGGCGCCGGACUGACGCUGAGGCACGAAAGCGUGGGUAUCGAACAGGAUUAGAUACCCCAGUAGUC